rnacentral:rRNA from 1 species
GAUGAACGCUGGCGGCGUGCUUAACACAUGCAAGUCGAACGAUGAAGCCCAGCUUGCUGGGUGGAUUAGUGGCGAACGGGUGAGUAACACGUGAGUAACCUGCCCUUAACUCUGGGAUAAGCCUGGGAAACUGGGUCUAAUACCGGAUAGGAGCGUCCACCGCAUGGUGGGUGUUGGAAAGAUUUAUCGGUUUUGGAUGGACUCGCGGCCUAUCAGCUUGUUGGUGAGGUAAUGGCUCACCAAGGCGACGACGGGUAGCCGGCCUGGGAGGGUGACCGGCCACACUGGGACUGAGGAACCGCCCAGACUCCAACGGGAGGCAGCAGUGGAGAAUAUUGCACGAUGGGCGGAAGCCUGAAGCAGCGACGCCGCGUGAGGGAUGACGGCCUUCGGGUUGUAAACCUCUUUCAGUAGGGAAGAAGCGAAAGUGACGGUACCUGCAGAAGAAGCACCGGCUAACUACGUG